rnacentral:rRNA from 1 species
AAGCAGAGGGGGCUUAGUGGUGGGGUGACUGCGUACCUUUUGUAUAAUGGGUCAGCGACUUAUAUUCUGUAGCAAGGUUAACCGUAUAGGGGAGCCGUAGGGAAACCGAGUCUUAACCGGGCGUUAAGUUGCAGGGUAUAGACCCGAAACCCGGUGAUCUAGCCAUGGGCAGGUUGAAGGUUGGGUAACACUAACUGGAGG